UACAGAGGGUGCAAGCGUUAAUCGGAAUUACUGGGCGUAAAGCGUGCGUAGACGGUUAUGUAAGUUAGGUGUGAAAGCCCCGGGCUCAACCUGGGAAUGGCAAUGGAUACUGGCAAGCUAGAGUGCGGUAGAGGGUAGUGGAAUUCCCGGUGUAGCGGUGAAAUGCGUAGAGAUCGGGAGGAACACCAGUGGCGAAGGCGGCUACCUGGACCAGCACUGACACUGAGGCACGAAAGCGUGGGGAGCAAACAGG
rnacentral:rRNA from 1 species